rnacentral:rRNA from 1 species
CCUACGGGAGGCAGCAGUGAGGAAUAUUGGUCAAUGGGCUUACGCCUGAACCAGCCAAGCCGCGUGAGGGAAGACUGCCCUAUGGGUUGUAAACCUCUUUUGUCAGGGAGCAACGCCGGCUACGUGUAGCCGGACUGAGAGUACCUGAAGAAAAAGCAUCGGCUAACUCCGUGCCAGCAGCCGCGGUAAUACGGAGGAUGCGAGCGUUAUCCGGAGUUAUUGGGUUUAAAGGGUGCGUAGGCGGAAUGCCAAGUCAGCGGUAAAAUCGCGGGGCUCAACCUCGCUCAGCCGUUGAAACUGGCGUUCUUGAGUGGGCGAGAAGUAUGCGGAAUGCGUGGUGUAGCGGUGAAAUGCAUAGAUAUCACGCAGAACUCCGAUUGCGAAGGCAGCAUACCGGCGCCCAACUGACGCUGAAGCACGAAAGCGUGGGUAUCGAACAGGAUUAGAUACCCCUGUAGUC